rnacentral:rRNA from 1 species
UACGGGGGGAGCAAGCGUUGUUCGGAUUCACUGGGCGUAAAGGGCGCGUAGGCGGUCAGCACAAGUCAGUUGUGAAAUCUCCGGGCUUAACUCGGAAAGGUCAACUGAUACUGUGCGACUAGAGUGCGGAAGGGGCAACUGGAAUUCUCGGUGUAGCGGUGAAAUGCGUAGAUAUCGAGAGGAACACCUGCGGCGAAGGCGGGUUGCUGGGCCGACACUGACGCUGAUGCGCGAAAGCCAGGGGAGCGAACGGGAU